rnacentral:tRNA from 1 species
UCCCUGGUGGCUCAGACGGUAAAGCGUCUGCCUGCAGUGCAGAAGACCCAGGUUCGAUUCCUGGGUUGGGAA